rnacentral:rRNA from 1 species
CGUUAGCGGCGGACGGGUGAGUAACACGUGGAUAACCUACCUAUAAGACUGGGAUAACUUCGGGAAACCGGAGCUAAUACCGGAUAACAUUUGGAACUGCAUGGUUCUAAAGUGAAAGAUGGUUUUGCUAUCACUUAUAGAUGGACCCGCGCCGUAUUAGCUAGUUGGUAAGGUAACGGCUUACCAAGGCAACGAUACAUAGCCGACCUGAGAGGGUGAUCGGCCACACUGGAACUGAGACACGGUCCAG